AUUUAUUUAUUGCAUAGGUGUGAGAGAUGUGAACCCUUCAGCGUUAAGCAGGAAAGUACUAAAAAAGAACGCUAUGGGUAAAAUGGCUUGUCAUUAAUGCUUUUAUGAUAAAAUCCAUGCCAGGUUGAGACCUUGCUCUUUUGCCUCCUUUUGACGAUCAGCCCUUUUCCUACUGCCCACACAAUGUCCUUGGACUUAGAACUAAUGAUUUUCCCACCUGCCUUCCUUCUAACCUGCUUUGCCCACGCUUGCAUCCACAGCCCCACAGCUGCAAUGACCAUUGUCUGUGUUCAAAGCCUCUUGCUCUCAUUGGAGUCAAGAAGGGAGAGAAACUCUUAGAAUACUGUUAAAGACCAGCUGGGAUUUGAUUUGUAUUGAGUAAUGGCGCCACAAUAUUACCUAUCAGGGCAGCAUAGCAGAGCUGAAAUCUCUGUGAAGAAGAGGAUUUACCCUAAGGAGAAGAGAAAAUGGAGUCAGAAGUCAGAGUGAAGGAAAGCAUUGAAAUGACAACAGAAAACAGUAACUUUCAUCAAAUUGCUUUUGCAUCUGGCGCCUGUCUUCUACGUUGCCAAAUAUAUGCACUCCUGCAUGAUGGAGCGUGGGAGGGCUGUGAUUAGUCUCAGGAAGAGAGGGGCAGAUGUCGGACAUUCUGCAGCAUUCAACACAAGUGAACAGCAUUUAGAAAAACAAGACACUUAUGUUGCCCCAGGAGAGCUCAUCUUUCAAGAAAAUAUGGGGUGCACGGAUCCAAGCUGCUAGACACUGGAGCAAGUUUCAUACAAGCGUGUCUGAGCUUCAGCAUUGUAUAGCAGAAGUUUUCUUCAGAAGGAGCCCAAGAAGAGUAUAUCCUCAACCUACACCUUUUUUUAGUUUGAAUUUCCUACGCUAUCUUUGAGAUGCCUUCAGCCAGAUGACUUCUCACUUCCACUAACCCUUUUUAUAGUUAAGUGACUGUAUGAGGUUUCACAGUACUACUCUAGAGGCUUACAAGUCAGUCUCAUGAGUUCGCCUACAGCUCCAGUUCUCUUGUAGCAAUCAUUUACUUCCAGAUUGGAAGAUCCAUACAAAAUGGAAAGUAUGUAUAGUAUGGAAAGUGGCUUGAGGAUGUGUUCAAUGACCAGCCUUCAAUAUAACUAAUCUUAUAAAAGGAAAUCUCAUCAGCAAGAUGUAUAAAAUGCUGGUGGGGAUUAACUACAAUAUCGAACCUAAGAAGAACUCAUAACUGUUGGAAGUAAUAACAACAGGGCUAUCGUUUGCAUAUUCUUUGCCAUACAACACACCAGUUGACAAACCCCCCUAAUAAAAGGCUCAGACCAAUUGGAGGAGAGGCAGUAACAAUCCAUACUGAUCUGACUGAAAUUUUUGUAAAUAGAUUAAGCAAUACAGGACACCAGAGAAAUGACUGAAAUAUUGCUAAAUGCCCCCUGAAAGUCAUUUAGCUUAGGCUCUGGUUGCAAACAAACUGGAUUAUGGAAGUGCUGUCAUCAAGAAAGAUUAUAUUAUGUUCAUACAGAUUUAUCAGGUGCAAUCAAGUCAAUCUCUAUUCAGGGAGAAACAAAGCACUCUGUUAAAAAUAAGUCCAUAUCAUAACAUUGUCCAGGGAAUAUUAUGGUUGAUAGUGAAUGUGAGCUGAAAAAAAUUCUCAGUCAUCUCUCUUAUUCACAGUAAAAAAAGAACGAACACUUUCUAAACAGUUGAGAUUCAUUGUUAGAUAGCAAGCCAUGAAAAUUGUAUGUCAGUAAGCAUUUUUUUCCCCCACGCAGAGUUUAGUUAAGAAAUGUAACAUACAGGGUAGUGUCUUUCUGCCAUAUAUUCAGUGCUUCUUGCUUAAGACAGGGAUCAACCUUCGCAUACGAUCCUGCAAAUAACACACAGCUGGAAAUCCAGAAAUGAAUGUAUGUCAUGCAACACCUACUGAUUAUCAAAAGGCUUGACUGUGGACUUCCAAGGAGCCACACUGAGACCUUGCAAGAUCUGACAGCUCUUCUUUCUAUGUUUCUAACACCUCAUUUGAACAUUUAAGCAAGUUUUAGCAACUGGGAUCAUCUGUCCAGCCUAUCCACUCAUCCCAUGUGCCUGUAAUCUGUCAUAAAUUCAGGUUUCAUUAUUGGCAGAAUUUAUGAGCUGGGAUUAUGUUGUCUUUGUAGAAGAGACUAGUAUGAUAACAAAGGAAUGGUUUUCUGAGACAAUAAAACUCUAAAAGUCACUCUAGAGACGUUUUGGAAAAUAAGAUCAAAGUUCUUUGAAAAUAAUCCCAUAAAACUACUGCAACUAAUACUACUUUAAGUAUCUGGUUUGCAAAGACAUUUGAGCAGUACACUGACAAACAUUGCAGUCCAUUUUCAAAUUGAUUUAGACACCAAAGGCAAAAGCUACAAACAAAAGUGGUAACUUGUGGUCCUCAGCAAGGGGAAGAGGGAUGAGGUCCUCAGAAAAGUGACCUGAAACCAAAUCUUUCCUACAACAGGAAGGCACUCCAACUUCCUUACUAUUCACAGGAUACAGGUGUUUAUCUGCUCUGCUUUCGGCCUCCUGGAUCUCAAGUUUUUUUUUUUUUUUUUUUUUAAAGAUGAAAUCUGGUAAGAGUGGUCUGAGAAAGAAAAAACAGUUUGGACCAUCCAGGUCUUUUUUGAAUCCUGAUGUAGUCUAAACGUGAGUUAGCUACAUUGUCCCACAAUUACCAAAGGUUUAGGAUGCUUUCCUCUUGUAGAGAAACAGAUAUAAAAUUGUGUGGAUUUGGAGAUGCUGACUAGGCACAUUUGUUCUCCUGUAGGUCUCAUUCUUAGUUUCAUUGAAUACAAGUGGGCUUACUCUUCUUCAUGACCAAGCCAUGACUAAAAGUGAUUCUUGGCCAUCCAAAAAACUUUGACCUUGUAAUACUAGGAUAACUCAGAGCAUCUUCAUACUUGCUCAGAUGAAUCAUUUCUUCUAAUUGCUGAAAAGGAGUUUUGGGGAGAGGAACAAGGCUAGAAAAUGUUACGCAGUUUCAUUCUCCCAUACUGCAGCAGCUGACAUAGACUUUAUCAUGUUUCCUUUCCCCACAUAUUCCCUCUCCCCUCACAGCUUCAAGUGAAGCAGAAAAAAUUCCUCUGCCUACCUCCAUUUCUCCCUCCUUCUCCUGCACCACACAGUGUUACUGCUAAUCAGCAACAUUUUCUUUGGCUGACAGCUCAACCCCACGUUGUCUCCUGAUCAAUGCUGAUACAGCACAUCCCAGCACACAGGAAAGGACAAAAGAAGGCAUAGAGGUCUGGGAGGGUAGUAAGAGUAACUGUGGGUUAUAUAUUGAGUUGUGCUAUGUGCACAUCUAUGUGGACACUUGGUAUGCCCAUGCCUUCAGCACUGACGGUCAAAGAGCAUCCUGAAUGAGUGCCAUCCUGUUACUCUGGAUGAGUGGUUCAUGCUGUUCCAGUCCCAAGCAGAAGGAAUAAAACCUCAAGGUGGCUAUGCAAAGUGGUAUAGGGAUCAAAAAUGCAGACAGUGUGGGAAAUAAUUAUAUCCAGUUUGUUAUGUAGUCACCAUCACCUUUCAGGUAGGUCUUUCCAGGGUGUUCUCCCAGUGUAGCUGAAGAAAAAGGACACUAUUCUCUUUUCCAUUACCCCCCAACCAAGGUGCGUGACUACUGACCAAAAGUGAAAUCAGGAAUGCUGUGGGCAAAAGGCAUUUUAGUUUCACACCUUAAACAUGAGACAGGGAAUGAGCAGAAUAAAUGUAAGUUCUUCCUUCAUGUCAGAACUCACAGAGGAAGCAGCUGUAGGAACAGUGAUACUCUCCCAGCAUGUGAGUGGGAAAGGCAGAAAAGGUUGGGAUUAAAGCCCCAGUUCUUGCACCUUGUAUAGAGAAGCCUCCUCUAGCUCAUGUAAAGUAAUCCUGUGGUGACAAAGGCAGCCUGUGGUUGUUGAAAUCUGAGGCUCAGUAACACAGACAGAGCAGCAGCUCUUGGAACUACUGAUGCUGAAACUCCAGCCUCCACAGAAUCACAUAAUGGCCCAGAUUGGAAGGGACCUCAAGGAUCAUGAGCCACCCCUGCCACAGGCAGGGCCAACCAACCUCCACAUUUGAUACUAGACCAAGCUGCCCAAGGCCCUAUCCAACCUGGCCUUGAACACCUCUGGGGAUGGGGAAUCCAUAACCUCUCUGGGCAGCCUGUUCCACCACCUCACCACUCUCAUAUUAAAGAGCUUCCCCCUGACAUCCAAACUAAUUCUUCCCUCUUUCAACUUAAAACCAUUUCCCCUUGUCCUGCUGUUAUCUACCCUUUCAAAGAGUUGACUCCACUCCUGUUUAUAGGUUCCCUUUAGGUACUGAAAGGCUGCAGUGAGGUCACCCCCACAUCCUUCUUUUCUUCAGGCUGAACAAGCCCAGCUCCCUCAGCCUGUCUUCACCAGGGAGGUGCUCCAGCCCUCUGGUCAUCUUUCUGGCCCUUCUCUGGACCCUCCUCAACAGCUCUUUGUCUUUCUUGUAUUGGGGGCUACAGACCUGGAUGCAGUACUCAAGAUGGGGCCUCAUGAGGGCAGAGUAGAGAGGGACAAUCACCUCCCUGUCCUUGCUGGCCACCCCUCUUCUGGUGGAGCCCAGGAUACCAUUUGCUUUCUGAGCUGCAAGAGCACACUGCUGGCUCAUGUUCAGUUUUUCAUCCACCAGGACCCCCGGGUCCUUCUCUUCAGGGCUAGUCUCAAGGAAUGUUCCUUCCAGCCUGUAUAUAUGCUUGGGAUUCCUCUGACCCAAGUGAAAAACCUUGCACUUUGCUGUGUUGAACCUCAUUAAAUUCACCCAGGGCCCACCUUUUAAGUCCACUGAGGUACCUUUGAAUGACAUCCCUUCCUUCCACCGUGUCAACCACACCACUCCUCUUGGUGUCAUCAGUAAACUUGCUGAGGGUGCAGUCAAUUCCAUCAUUGGUGUCACUGAUAAAGAUGUUAAAGAACACAACCUCCUGCAGUUGCUGGCAAAGUUCGUCAUAUUCUAUGCUGGAUUUGGACAUAGAUCCUGAUAAUCUUGAAUGUUUUGAAAACUCCACAAGGAAGUAGCUCUGAUUUCAUAGCACCAGAAUUAAUUUUUUCUAACAUCACCUUUAAAAAUAUAUAUCAACAGCAAACAGCAACAAAGCUGGUUGACAGCGCAUAUGCCAUAGAUACAGAUGGAAAAAACAUAACAUUGUAGAGUGAAGAGAGUACACUUAAAGAAAAGUAGCAAUGGUUAUGAGUGCAUUUAAUAUUUGUGCAUUCACUGAAAUAGGGUUUAGUUCUGAUAAAUCUGAAGUUUAUCUUUAGGUUUGGAUGCUGAAUCAAUGCCAUCUAGUGGUGGUAGAUGUGUUCUGGUCUUAAAGUUCACAGCCAUUUUAACAUCACUGAAGUUCCACCUAAUUAACACUUUCUUGGUGUCUUUCAUACCCUUUUAAAACUAGUCUAAAUGUUCGAUCCAGAUUAAACAACUAAGAGCCACUGAUAUAUAUAAUGAUCGAUUAUUCAUUAAUUUACGAAUUCAAAAAUGUUCAAGUUUCUAUUAAUUCAAAUAACUGUAUCACAGAUGAAGGCUUUGUUCUGUUAAAGGCAGCAUUAAAUGACAACUUAUUUAAUCCUUCUAAUUUUUAAACGAACGUCUUUGCUUCACCAUAGAUUAAAGAGACAGAACCACUACACUAAAAAAGCCAUGUGAGUUUACCUAAAUAAAGGUAUUUCCUCACUGUGAGUUGCUUUUUAUUAGCUUUUAACUAGCUCCUAGUUUGCAGGUGUUUGUCAUCACACCUGGCCCCUCAGCAAUAAAUUCUUCUGAGACAACAAGAUCUGAGAAGAACGAGAGUUAACAUGUAGGAUUCAUUUCAAAGCUACACAGCAAGGCAAGGAAGUUCUGAGCCCUCUGUAGUCAUUUAUAUAAAAAAUAAGCUAUUUUGGUGGUCUGUUGUUUGCUUACAGAGUAUGGGCAGAAGUGAAAUGUCAGAAAUAAAUGUAAACUUAUCUCAUUACCCCUACAGGUUGGUAGUGGUGGUGGGCGUAAAUCAGGAGAUAAACACAGUUGUGAGCAUUAUACUUAUGGACCAUGCAACUAUUACAGCAGGAGUGCUGAAAGGGCAUCCUCUGGCCUAACUGAUCAUUUCCUUAAUAUAUUCCUUAUUCGAGGACUUUUAGUAGACUAUGCACAUUCAUAAACGUUUGGUAUUCUGUUGAGUGCUCUGUAUCAAAAUGCAUAUCUCAGAUAUGCUAUUUCUCUGAUUUAUUCCUGCUAUAAAUGCCGAUUUACAGCUUACCUGUAGGUGACAGAAGGACAGAUGAGUUGGAAGUUGCACUGAAAUGUGAAAUAGUUCUUUGCUGAGUAAGAAAACUUGGUAAAAAUUUGCAUAUCUUCUCAUUUGUGCCCAAAGGAAUUUCAACACAACUGAAGUUGAAAAAGCAUAAGAUUCUGUGGGCAGGAGCCCCAGAAAAAUUGCAGUGAGAGGAUCCUUUGCUUUGUGUUUAUGUCUUCUUCUGUUACAUUGUCCUCUUUGUAUGUUUAUUCCUAUUCUUUUUCUCUUAUAUGUUUCAUGAGCUUCUUCAAAUAUGUCCUUUUAAAAAAAGUGAAAAUUCAGUCUUGUCUUGUAAUUAGUGCUGCUAUAGGAGAUUAGGCUUUGAGAAGUUAGCUGCUGCUAGGAGGCACUGCCAGCUUUUUUCCCUUUAUGAGAAGUCCUUUGGGACUUUAUGGAAAAAAAAAAAAAAAAGCCAGACAGCGCAACUACAGGUUCUUAUAUCAGCUCUAACAUGUUUUUUACAAGUGGACAAAAAUCAAUGAAUACAAAAUCUUCUAAGACAUUUGCAAAAGCAAAGAAUAUUUAUCUAAACAGUACAUGAAAAACAAAGAAAGAGCAUCUGCAGUUGUAUUUAUAUAAUAUCACAUUAUGUUAUAUAUAUAUAUAUUAUAAUGCAACGUGCAACCUGUAACAGACAGGAAUCACAUACAAUUCUUGUUUCCUUUCCAAACGAUUGUUGUUUAUUCUGUUCCUUACAGUUCUUGAAAGAAUUAAGAACUGCUGUGAUCUAUCAUUGCAAACAGAAAAACAUCAAAAAGAGAGGAAGGAAAACACUGUCAGUGGCACACACGUUACACCAUCUGCAAUAUAUUCUCUGCAUAUCUCCUCAUCUGUGUCCAAAGGAAUUUCAAAACAUAGAAGCUUGUAUUACCAUCAAACACUCUGUUUUACCUGGGUAAAAACUCUUGGAUUUCCCUGCUGAACUGGGUGCCUGGGAAUUACUACAGAGGAGGUUUUGAGCUUCAGUACUGAGUCCCUUGGGAUGUGGUUGUAUGACCAUGGUACAAACAUAGUAGCAAGUGGCUACAUGAAUGGACUGUGGUUCUUGGUGAUCCUUUCACAUAUAAUCCUUCUAGCAUUCACUUAAUUAAUGUACAAAUAGAGCCUCUGUCUUUGAAAACUUGAAAGCCUACAGAUUGACAUUUUUUUUUCCAUAUCUCUAAAUCUGCAAAGGAUUUAUGUUUGAUGUUUAGGCUGAGUUGGUGUCAAACUACUCAGGUGUCUGGUUUAAUCCCUGGGAGCACACUUGGUGAAAGGCUUUCAGGUAAGCUACCAUGGCUAGCCAGAAAGCUUGUUCAUCUUCUGCCAUCCUCUCUGCCUUGCAGGGACCUCUGGUGCCCAGUGUUGCCCAGAAAUGAUGGGCCCUGAUGUUGACUGCAGCACAGGCCUUUGGCUCUCAAAUCUUUGUCAUGACCUAAAUAACACAGAGGAGGCCUAAUGGUCAGAAGAAUCAUUCAUUAAUGAAAAUUUGCAUCUCAGAAGCUGCCAAUGCUUUCACCAUCACAUCUGCUCUGCUACUAAGCCACCAAAUUUGAAACUGCCUUGUCCAUGCCCCUCUUCCACCACAGUAAAUCCCAACAUUAGAUUGAAGUGGCAGAGUCUGUCUAUCCAGCUGUUCCAUUUGGAGAGCUGUAGCCAUGAAGGCAAGCUUGGUGGGGUCUGGGAAGCAGCUAUGACAUUAUUGGUCAUGUAAUGGCCUGGGCUGUGCAGAGCUACUCUGCGCAUGUCCAUUUUUACAGGCACGGUCUGCAUAAGAGCUAUGUAGCUCAAAAGUGGAAGAAGCAAUUAGCCUUGUCCUUGCUAAGUUCUCAUCUGACAACAGAUAGAUGAAAGUUUCCAGGUGGUUAAAAAUAUUCCUCUCUCUUUUCCCAAAGCACUGCACUGGCACUGGUCAUAACUUAAGCAGAGAAGCAAGCGAUGCAUCAAGAUCCAUCCUGGCAGUUGGGGACAGAUAUUAUGAUCUAAUUGGUUAAAUAAUGCUGGCCUCUUUUGAAUGUGUUUGAAGAUACUUUUAAUUAUAUAAUCCAAAGAAACAUCCUUCAUGCUUUAUUAAGAAGCAUGAAAUAGUCGUUGCUAUUAUGAGUUGUUUUUACUGAUGAAAGAAAAUGAAUGUGAAAUAAAAGGAUAAUGAAACGACACUUACCAUUUUUCUUCCUGUGAUGGAAUAUGUUAUUAGAUUUGUACUUCCACACAGCUUCAGAGAACUCCUGGUAUGUAGCUGCACUACUGAGAACUCAUGGCAAUUCCUCAGAGAAUUAUGUAAUACAGGCUGCAGAUGCACCCUAGUUAUACAGAGGGUACCCAGAGGUGUUUUCUUUUUCCUAUUCUAAUUUCCUUGUGUUUAAUAUUUGUUGCUUAAUGAAUGCUCCCAUGAAAAUGCAAAAAUCCUGUACUUUUAGGUGAUUAAACAUCUUUGGGAGUGUGAACUUUAAAUAAUUUUGGUCAAAUUCACAUUUGCUGCAUCAGAAUCAGUUGUGAUGACUGUGCUGAGACACCAUCGUUCUAUUUACUAAUCUUCUUUUACUCUCAGAACAAACCUCAAUCAAUCAUGCACUGCUUUCAGUCGCCACUCCAGCACUUCCCAUUUCUCACUAGGUGUUUUGUAAGACAUGGCUGUUUUCCUCCAAGAUACUAUACAACUCCAAGCAACCAGUAGCCUCUCAAGUACUAUCAACACAAAAUCUUUGAAAUUACAUAUUCAUACGCCAGCCUAAUGAACAGUGUUUGCAAAUGAAGGAUAAAUAUUGUAGAUGUGCAGGCAUUCCAUUCUUCUCUCCCAAGUAUUAGUAUUCAUAUGGAAGACAACUUACCAAGAGGCAUGUGACCAAAUGUGCAAGAAAAGACAGCAGAGAAGUGCAUUUACAAAAUAUACAACAUUUCAGUGAAAGACUCCCUCAGCAGUGGAAUCUUUUUUCUUUUAAAAUACUAUUAGCAUUAUUACAUUGAGCACCUCUACGACUGCAAUUCAGAAGGUCGCUAGAGGUGUUCAGGCAUCUCUAGAAAAGAAGCAUUGAAGAGAUGUAACCUGUUUUUGACACUACCAGAUGUAAGUAAAAUUUCCUUUACUGAUAGAGAAAUGAUUUUUCUUUUAGCAGAAUUGCAGCAGAUAUCACAUUUCUGAUUAUACCACACAAAGAAACUGCAGUACACGCUCCUCAGAAUAGCUGUGCAUGAAUGUCCAUAUGUAUAGAACACCAGCAUCAAUCAAUACCCCCAGGUCUAUUUCCUCUACACAGUCUUUCAGCAACUCUGCCCCAGUCCUGUAGCGUUGGCUGCGGUUGUUGUGGCCAAAGUGCAGGACCCGGCAUUUGGUCUUGUUGAACCUCAUCCCAUUGGCUUCAGCCCAGAUAUCCAGCCUGUCCAGAUCCUUCUUUGUCCCAGUGUAAAACAUAAAGUGCAGUAACUCCAGGAUUAUGCAUUUAAAGUAAGGUCUCAAAUAGAGGUUUCAGAGCUCUCCCAGUGUUCUUAUCUCGCAUCAGAUGGCAUCCCUUGAUGCCAUGUGUGUUGAAGGACUUCAAAUAAAGAACAGGUUAAUAUCAGAUCUGCAUUUGGUUCCUUCUUAGACCCUUUCUCUAUGAAUAAAGCUGCAAAAAUAUUUUUGUCCCCGUAAUAAGGUAAAAUCUGAUUCCUAUUUCUUGUCAAUACUGUAUUAUAUGAACUGAGAGGGAUGUGGAUAUAUUUUAUUUUAUUUUGUCUUAUUUUAUUUUUAUACUGUUGAGCAAGGCUUUUUUGAUUAAUGAAUUCAGAAAAUAAAUUGCAACUACAUUAAAAGGACAGAUACACUUGGUUACUAGUUUGUAGGAAGGCUACCUGGACAGUGAAGCUGAGCAAUAAUUCUUAUAACAUGCUGCCAGUAAAUACAGGUGGUAAUUUAGCUGUGAUUUAAUUCUUUUUGUAAUAAGCAGUCACACAACUGACAGAAAUAUGCAUACACAUGGAUUUCCUAAACCAUUCAUCAAGAUGGCAAUGUGUAAUAUAGAUUUCACUGAAUAUAAAUUAAAAAAAAAGUACAAAAGCACUCUUUUAUGCCGUAACCAAUAAAUUUGUAAACAUGUUCCAAAAUAACCCCUACAAAUAGAAUUUAAAUGGCACCAUAUUCACAGUGAAAGAACAUAAAUAAGAUCCCAUGGUCAGUGCCCUGAUUGAUGAGAUCACUGCAGCAAAUCAGAGAAAGAAUUGAAGAAAAAUGAAAUUUUUGCCUGACAAGAAUAGAGAUUUUUACAUCAGCCUUUUCUACACUGAACAGAAUCAAAACCAGUAGGAAAAGCAGAGGAAGUAGCCAAAACAGUGGAAGUAUUGAGUAAGAUGCUUUCAGCAAUCACAGAAAAAAUACUUACUGUCUCCCACCAGGGUUUACUUAGAUGUUCACAUAUUAAGCUCUCAAUUAAAAUAAUAAGAUCAAAGCAGGCAAAAUAUACUGCUGGAAAUAUUAAAAGUUGUUACAUGAAUUCUCUGUGAUUUCUCAAAGCACUGGCCACCCAGCUCUUCAGUGUGUCUUCAGAGGUGGUCAGCUGCUGAUGCUUCAGGGGAUGGCUAAAAAACAAAACAGAAGCAGAACAGAAGCAAUGCUGUGGGAAAAAACACAUUCGCUUUAACUUUGUCAAGACACUGAAUGAAACUCCUGAACCUGAGGAUUAGUUAUGAUUCUAGUUUUAACAGAGAUCUAUGAGUGUUAGAAGCAUGUUAUGACUGCUAGAGGAAACAGAUGAGCACGGGAACUCAGAAUAUCAUGUUUCAAACCCGAAUGGACUGAUUAUUAUUUUUCUGGUCUCCAUACACAGGUUGGAGAAAUCUAAGUACAAAAAGCGGUUCUGUUUCAUGGUAAUGAUUCUGUGAUGGCCUGUUCACCACUGUCCAUGGUCAAACUGGUUGACUGCUGAACCAGUCUGGUUUCUUCAGCUCUACUUGCAGCAGCUGGACCUUCUCAUCAGCUCAUCUGGAACUUAAGGAGACCUUAUAUUUUCUCAUGUACCUAAACAAGGUGCUCAAGCUUGUUGUGUUCUUCUUGGGCAGCCAAAUGAAACAAAGACCUUACACAACUAUUAGAAAUGAUCCUGUGUCUUUCAGCAGAUUUUUAAUUUUCUACAGCUUCCAGAGACAUCCUGAAGAGCAGUCAAUUGCUAUAAACUAAGGCUAAGACUCUUCCUUACUUCUAUAUCAUCACCCCAUUUUGAAGAUUUCUUCAUCCCCUCCUCACAAAGAAAGAACUAAGUAAUUCCAUUUCCUGUGAGAAAUUCUGAGAUCAUUUCCUUAUUCCCAGGUUCAUUGAUUCUUGUGACAUCAUCUUCCAUCCCAUCAAUAUUUAAAAUUCCAGUUUAAAAAUAACCCACUUAAUGGUUCAAACAGCACUAAAUUAAUCUUUUCUUCCUUUAUUAUCUUUUUUAAAAAUUAUACUUAGAAAUGAAUACAUUUUUAGACAUCUAAGUUCACGUGAGUAUGAAAACAAAAACCUUAAUUUUCAUAAAAAUAGAUUGAAUUUAUUUUGAAGUUCAUACUAAGAAAAUAGAUUUUCUCAUAUAUUUUUUAUAUUAAUCAGCAAAAAUUUGUUUGAAGAGGUCUAUAUAUGACUAAAUGACUUGAUUUUAUAAUGUCAUAAUUGUAGAGUUGUUUUUCCCAAGUUACAUUCUGUUCGUUUUGGGGACUUUCAUGACCUGGGAAGAAAUUUGUAUCCUUAAACAUCCAGUCUUGUUCCAGUUACUCUGUUUUAGGUUGAGAGUCAGAGACUUUUACAAAAUAACUGCCUUCAUUUUUAAAACUGUGUUAAUAAAAUGUGGCAUAUUAAAAUAAUAUAUUUAAUUUAUGUUCAAUUAUAAGUGGUGAUUAAUAGUUCAUAGCUUAACAAAAGGGCAUAGGCACAAAUCCUCAGUUGCGUAUUCAAUUCAAGAGCUAAUUUUUUGUUCACAGAAGGAAGAACCUUGCUUCUGCAGAACUUCAUAUAUAAUACUGUGUCUAGUUUAUUGUGUCCUGCUUGCUGCAGCAGUUAUAAUAGCUAAAAUUUUAUAAUAAAAGCAGUAGCAGAUAAUUAAAUGUCUAUGACAGACAAGUUUUAUUUACAUCAUGUAUGAUGUGAAUAAUUCUCAAUUUCUUUAUCUUUUCCAAAUUUUACAUGAAAUUUAAAGGGCUUCAAUUAUAUGUAGCAUUCUCACAGUUAUUCAUUAAAUGUCAGUGCCUAUUCUUUGGAAAAAAAUACUAGAUCUGUGGUUGGGUUUGAGGUCAUUUAUUCUAAUACACUUGGCCUGAAGAUAUUCAUGAGAAGGUUUCAUAUUGGAUAAAUUUUUCUAAGUACAUAUGAUACAUUUCACUGAAAAGCUUACUUCUGUAGGCUUAUCAGGUAUGCUUUUCAUAGAAUCACAGAAUAGCUUGCAUUGGAAGGGACCUUAAAGCUCACCCAGCAGGGCUAAUACCCACCAGCUCAGCUGCUCAGGGCCCCAUUUAACCUGGCCUUCAGUGUCUCCAAGGAUGGGGCUUCCACAGCUUCUCUGUGCAGCUGUGCCCAGUGCAGAAUUUCUUCCUAGCAUCUAACCUAAAUCCCCUAUUCUUCAUGUUAUCUAUACAAGAUAAACAUUUAGACUGUGAGUAUUUAAUCAUCUUUAUUUUGUUUAAUAGAUAACUUCCUCUUCAUCGUUCCAGCUAAGCUUUAAAUGCUAAACAGUCAACCAGACUGGCAGCAGCUACAGCCGUGUGUAUAGCUAAAUUAUGAUUUUCCAGGGUGUUAAAGAAAUACUGGCAAGAGAAAUCUUCAUUAAAAAUACAUGAACCUUCAAUUACUGAGGCAAAUGCUCUGAGCAUGAGUUUAUUUAUUAGAUCACGUCUCCAACAUGAGUAUAAUCAGUGUAAGAUUACAGCCUGUUGUUUAGGGUAAUCACUGGAGAAAGAGGAAAGAUUAGGCCUCUUCUCGUAUGUAACUAGUGAUAGGAUGAGAGGUAUUCGCCUUAAUUGUGCCAGUGGAGGUUCAGAUAGGAUAUUAAGAGAAGUUCCUUCUCAGGAAGAGUUGUGGGGCACUGGAAUGAGCUGUCCAGGUAGGUGGUUGAGUCACUGUCCCUGAAGGUGUUCAAGAACUGUGUGGUCGUGGCACUGAUGGAUGUGGGUAGUGGGCAUGGUGGUUGUAGGCUGAUGGUUGGACUAGAUGGUCUUAGAGGGCUUUUCCAACCUUAACAAUUCAAUGAUUCUACAAUUAGCCUCCUUGUGAGUGGAAUGUGUAAGUAGUGGCAGUGACGUACAAAUGAUGAAAAUGUAAAAAAGAAAUGGAAGAUAUCCAGGAGAAGCAAUGAUUGUUAUAAAGAGAUGUGUCAGUUAACUAAUUAACUUACUAUGCAUUUGAAUAAUAUACUGUUGUGAACAUUGUUAUUCCAGGAAGCUGUGAAGUUUUGAAAACAGUGUUAAAAGGAUUUCUGUGGUUAUUGCUUUCUGAUGAAAUUACUGAGGGGGAAAAACACAUCUAAUUACUGAAUAACAUCUGAGUGUGCAUGGCGUGGCACAUUAGCAUCACAGUCAACUGAAGUGAGAAAUGCAAGGCAAUGUAAUACAUGUGAAAAGUUACUGUAAGCAGUUUCCACAUGUAUAACAUUGUUUCAUUAUUAUGGUUGGUACUAAAUAUCACAAUAAAAUAGACUUGUUUAAACAGAUCCUUUUCCAUAAUUUAUUAAAACUCUCUAGUAAAAUCCAUAUCAGAGAUGUACAGAAUUAAGAAUAUAUUUCACCUUCAGCAAUUAUUUCUGGAGCAUAAAGUGAAUAAAUUAAAUAAAUAGACUUAAUAUAUUGAAAUAAGGAAUUGAUAUUCAAACCAGAAAAGAGCUACUGAACAAACAUAUGGAUCACUCUUUUUUUUCAUUUUACACAAAUUUCUCUUCUAUAUGGAUCUUCAUGAAUUAUAAUUUCUUAAUGUGGAGAAUUAACAUUUUCAGAGUUUUUAUUUAAUGAAAAAUAUUUAAAUAGCUCUGCACCCAGUGUGCACUACAUUUAAUUAAUUACUCUAGCAAAAAUGUUGAAUACAAUUUUCUAAUGUUUUCAUAAAUUUUUAGUUUUCAAGGCUGGGAGAAGCACUAAUUAUGAAUGAGGUUUUUGCAAG
ensembl:lncRNA